AUCAAGAGUCGAAUGUACAUAAUAUAUUUCAAAGUGUAAAACUGAUUAGAUUAAAUGUUAAAUCAAAAACUAUUUCCAUCACCUCCCAAAAGAAAACAAAAAACACCUCUCACCUUUCUCAGCCAGGGUGCAGCAAAGGAGACAGAGGAAGAUUGCACAACACAGACAGAGUGCAGACAUCGUGCUAAAACAACAAGAGCUUCACAACUAACAAAUAGCAGGAAAUAGACAGUAUGUCUAUACCACAGUGAUGUCUGCUCUAGAACCACUCCACCAAUAGGAACACGAAGUAGGCCUACUUUACAGUUAGGUUCUGAACAAAUGAGGUAGGCAUAAUAAACCAAGACAUUACAAAAUAACAUAAAGAGAAUCAAGACCUGAACUUAUUUCAGUUGCAAUUGUGGGUGUCAGUAUGUGACAGAAUCAUAUGUUAGGGAAUCAUAGGUUAGGGAUAAAUGAGGUUUAACAACAAAACAUAAUUAUUUGAUUUGAACUUUUACUUCACUACAUUCCAAAACAAAAUAUGUACUUUUUACUCCAUACAUUUCCCCUGACACCUGUGGAGGAAAUGAAUAUUCAUGACAUACUAUACUGUUUAAUUAGACAUAGAAUGCUGUUUUCUACGUAAAGAUUGUCCAUUGUUAAAUGCUAGUAUUUUUUAUAACCUGAUACAAAGUUGCCUUUGUGUGACUUAGUCACAAGACUGGGUGAUUUCGUAAGAACCGUUUGGGUGUGACCGCAGCAUGUGACACAUCCCGUGGUUUUCUGCAGGAACUCAGCUGUAUGGGAAGUUGCAGGAAGGAGCACAUUAUAGUGUGAACUGUGACAAACGCAGUUACAUGGUUGAGCCCUUGUGCUAUCAACCUCCGGCUAUCUUAAUCUGCACUGACAAACCAAUCGCCUUUUAGACACUAUGCUCCGCCCAUUUCCACCCAUCUGCUAAACUGCCACAAAGACAGAGGUUGCAUUUUCUAUAAAAGCUGAGAGCCAACGCUAUUCGUUGGGCUUUCUGACUAUGCACUGUUGAGUGAUUGUCAUUUAUUGCUUCAUUUUUACAAAUCUUAUAAUAAAGUUAUUUGAUAGAAUCUGCAGUCUCUCUUCCUAUAGAAUGUCUACCACACACCCAAAAGUACUGGUUACAUUUCAAAUGCUUAGCAGGACAGGAAAGCUGCCCAAUUCAAACAAACAUCCCUGGUAAUCCUUACUGCCUCCGAUCUGGCGGACUCACCAAACACAAAUUAUUCAUUUGUAAAUUACGUCUGAGUGGUGGCUAUCCGUAAAUAAAUGUUUAAAAAAUAAAUAAAAAAUGGUGCAGUCUGGUUUGCUGUAUAUUUUAGCAAUUACAUUUACCUUCGAUAAUUAAGUAUAUUUAAAACCAAAUACUUUUAGACAAGUAGUAUUUUACUGGGUGGCUUUCACCUUUACUUGAGUCAUUUUCUAUUAAGGUAUCUUUACUUUUACUCAAGUAUGACACUGGGUAUUUGUUCCACCACUGUUGGAUUCUGGGGUAAACUUUGAACAUUGUUAUACUCAGAAGUAUAGGAACAUUAGUUACAUAAGAGACAUGAAGCGUGCCAUAAUGAAGUUUGGGAGGGGCUGAGUGCAGGGAAAACAAUCGCAUGUGACAGUACUGAUAUCACUUAGUUCCCUGCUUAGCAAGAAUGACGCAAUGUUUAGCGAUAAGGUGGAGACUCCACCCAAAGUUGGGUAUGAAUACUACCACGGGGGAGGCCAUGUCUGUGUCUGAAUUACAGCUGUAUUGACCCUUUGGGAAGAAUUAAACUUGGUUAAGCUUCUCUAGUGUCUGAGUUAUUUACUCAAAAUUAGAACCUAACAUUACAUAACAUAUCCUCUAGUCCCAGACAUGAUAGAGGUGAAUGGUUCACUACAUAACAUAUCCUCUAGUCCCAGACAUGAUAGAGGUGAAUGAUUCACUACAUAACAUAUCCUCUAGUCCCAGACAUGAGAGGUAAAUGAUUCACUACAUAACUUAUUCUCUAGUCCCAGAAAUGAGAGGUGAAUGGUUCACUACAUAACAUAUCCUCUAGUCCCAGACAUGAGAGGUGAAUGGUUCACUACAUAACAUAU
rnacentral:lncRNA from 1 species